GGAGAGAGUCAUGAGGCUGGAGAGACACCUGUCAUAGCCUAAGACAGCACCGAAGACAAAUGAAUCAAUGUGCCAGCAGCUGAUCUGAAGGGUGAGAAUAUCAGGAGGUUGGAACAAAGGCUGUGAGAGUACAAGACUACACUAAGAACAAGAGAAGUCAUGGGCCAGCCAACAGUCGAAGUGAGGUGGAGGAAAGCCUUGGGCACUUAGAAGGAGGGCCCUCACUGAGAUCCCACUGCCAAACUGAGGUUGGAAAAGACUUGGGAGCCUAAUGAGAAGGGUGCGGGGACCUGAGGGAGCCCUAGUGGUUGGAGAAACCAGCCUCCAAGUGGUGGUGGGGAAAAGAGGCCUUGGGACGAGCAAGUGGAGAGAAAGCCCUGGGGACUGGAGGCAGCAGAAAGUACCAAGCAUAUCCCAAGCAGAAAUCACAGAUGCCAUUCAAAGAAGGGACAGUUCUGACCCAAAGAUUUGCAGGUUACCAAGUGCUACUUUGAAUGUUUCCCAGAGCGAUUUCCAGUGUAUGAAGGAGGUCGUCUCACUCUUAGUUUCUCAGCUGUUGUGGCCACACUGCUUACUUGCUGUGUUUCUUUUGAAGUGCCCUGGGACUCCGGACAAAGGAUUCUGGGAUGCAUCUGCAGAGGAGCAGUUACAAGUGCCAGAACGUAGCUAAACAGCAAGGGGAGCAGAGAAGGAACCCCUGCUUUACGGAAAGCAAAGAAAAUAAAGAGGCUGAAUGCUUGUUUCAAAGUGGAUUUUAUUCCAGGCAUUUAAAUAGACAAGUUCUGGCACAUGCUUUGGUUAAGAAAAGGAAAAACAAACCUGUGUUUCACAUAAACUACAUUUGGCAAAGAAAACUUUUUAACCAAGUGAAAGAAAAUAAACCCUUUGAAAUUGAUUUCUGUACAGCUGUAGUUUCAGCUCCUGUUAAAUAAACUCUAAUCACCCCGCACAUGAAA